rnacentral:lncRNA from 1 species
UGGUCUUGUAUUCCAGACGGCAUUUUUCUUGUAUCCUGUCUCCGCCAUCUUGAGGUCUCUAAACUCCCACCUCAGAACCUCUUCCAGAUGCUUGCCUAGCAGGACCCAGCUCCUCCAUUCUUGGAUAAGACACACAACAAGUUGUCCUGGGUGAUGGAUGAGGUAGGUCAGACCCCUGGCCAGGGAGGAUAUGCCUGGCUUGCUCUCUGUGGAACCCCCAUGCUGCCCUCUGGGGAUUCCUAGGGCCCAUCCGGGAAUCAAAGAGGAAGGAAUAAAUGGGGAGGUGAAUUCCCAAUAGGUAACUGUGGGGUGCCCUGGGGUUAAAAAUUGGCUCUUAGGUGCCCUUCGUUUCUGUAUCUGCAUAAAGGGCACUCUGGAGCUGUGAAUUGCUGAGGACAUUUGCAACCACCUUUUGGGGAAAAGAACAGAUGGUCUGCACAAGCCUAACAGCUGGAAGCUGAAGUUUCCCAGCCCAGGCGCUGCUCUUGGAGACAAAGUCCAUCAGACAAUAAGGGAAAACAAACUCCCCUGCACAGCGUGGGAAGUUACCCAGCAGGUGGAGCAGCAGAGAGCCUGCAUGCCCAAGUUUCUGGGCCAGUGAAGAGGAGGUUUGGAUCCCGGCCACUCCUGAGGCCUGCCUGGGAACUUGUGGGGACCAGGGAGGGCGGAUUCAGUGGCCUGAGGGCAUUCCUUCCAUUCCUGACUCCUGUCUGUGGCAUUGGCAUGCACUUACCCCAGAGGACUAAUCUCUGAAAUGGGAAGAUGACCCUCACCUGGGCUGAGAUGGCAGGAAGGCAGAUGUAUUCUCCAAGAAUGUUUGGGUUUUAAGUGGCAGAAAGACAAGUCAAGCCACCUUAAGGUAGAAGGAAAUUACCUGGUAUAUGUAUAUAUGUAUAUGUGUAUACAUAUAUAUAGUUUAGGUAUGAGGUGUCCCCCAAAAGCUCCUGUGUCCCUGCAGGAAUGUUCUCAGGUAAAGCGAUCAGAUUGUGACUGGUAUAACCUAAUCAGUCCAUCCUAGUUUGAAUGGACUGCCUGGGUGGUAACUGUAAAGCAGGUGGGAUGUGGUCUGGAAUUGUGGCUUAGUGGUAGAGCACUUGCCUGGCAUGUAUGAGGCCCUGGGUUCAACCCUCAGCACCACAUGUAAAUAAAUAAAAUAAAAGAUCUCUUGGCAACUAAAAAAAAUAUUUUUUUUUUAAAAAGCAGGUGGGAUGUGGCUAAAGGAGGUAGGUCACUGGGGGCAUGCCCAGAAAGGGUUGUUCUUCUGGGGGCCCCUUCCUGACCCUGGUGUAAGAUGAGCAGCUUCCUGCCCCAUGAAACCCCCAGGCCUGUCCCCCAUGAUGCUCUAUUUCAUCUUGUGCCCAAAGCAAUGGACUUGGCCUACCAUGGAUUGAACCUCUAAAACUGUGAGCCCCAAAUAAACUUUUUGUCUUCUAAGUUGUUCUGGUCAGG